UGCGAUACUUGCUUGCGAUAUAUCGAAUCCGAUUCCUUCGGGUACGAAUGUUCGUUUAGUGAGUAGUGCAAAGUGUAAGUUGCUCCUGCAAAAUGAGAAGAAAUCAACUGAAAAUCGUGCAGACAAUAUCCAAAAAUGGUUUAUCCUGUACUUCCGGGACACAUAGUAUAGCAGACAAAUCCGUAGAAAGCUCACCGGAAUGACGAGUCGUGAUGCUGUUCCUUCGUGAAGAGCAGCAGAGGCCGAAGAUUUCAGAUUACAACGAUUUUUCUGGCGCGAAUGGGGAUCGAGAUGACGGGAUGGCUAAGGAGACGGGCGCCAGACGAUCUUCGUGGGAGGCUGUACAGCUAGAACAAACAUCCAUACACAAGAAUAACAUCUUUCGCUAAUCACAACACUUGGAGCACCCUGUACACAGACGAGAAGGCGACGAUAGAAAAACAUCGUCGUCGCUCGUUGAAGUCUCUUGGAAAAAUGACGUAGCCCUUUGCUGGUUAAUGAAGUGGUUUCACAUUGCUGCAUCCGGUUUGAUUCGAUAAAAAAAUACAAUUGGAAACCUUGCGAUCUUGAUGGCACUUCCACAUUCGUUGAUUAAAUACAUUCACGGUGCGUUAAAAUAUAUGGUGAACGACUUACGUAAGUACCUCUAUAUAAGUGUUACAGUCGCUAAUUAGAAUUAAUAGUGAUUAAUUUACAAGAGAAAGAUGCUUAACCCUGGAACGACAGUUGAUUUUCAUUAUUUCAUUCUCCAAAUUUUUGACUAUUUUCUUAGACAUUAUUUUCAUUAAUACAAAAUCUUUAGUACUCAAUUUUAGUAGCAUAUAGUAGAUUUACUAGCUGCAACGUUCGAGAGUUAAAAUUACAACAAAUUAUCGUUUCAUACUUUUUUUUUUUUUUAAAUAAAUUCGAGUCUUUCAGAAAAUUCUUUUACGAAAAUAUAAUAGGCUAUUAUUAUUGCAAAUCAAGUGAUAGAAUUAUACAGGAAUUCUUCAAAAUUUAAGGAUAGUUGCUUAAAGAAAAAUUUUAUUCAAUGAAGUAUCCUUAAAUUUUUGAACACCCUGUAUCUUCAUUACCACAUUUUUCAGUUUAUAUAUAUUUACAAUAUUUUGUUGUGUAGAUUUUGAUGAAGUUACUCGAAAUAAUUAAAUAAUCACUCGUUUUAGCAAUUCUACUAAAAUUUCAUCGAAAAUCGGAUUGUAUUCACGUCGAAAUUCAUUGAUUUUUAAUUUGGAACUUCAUCAGAUUGUUAUCAAUUAAUUGAAUAAUUGAUAGAGUGAUUCUUUAAUUAUUCAAAAUUUUGCAUUGUUGCAUUUGGCUGUUCGCAAACGACAGAUUCUACCUUUUCUGUAUAGGACGUCGAAAAAUAGACAGUAAAUUUGUAUUAGAGCAUGAAAAGUAAUAUUAGUUUAUUUAUGAAAAUACUGUCUUUACAUGGUGCUUCUAAUUGUAAGAAAAAUUCUAAAUCUUAAACUAUUAGGUGCAUAGUAAUACACAGGGUAAGUUAUGAAAUUUAAUUUCCUUAAUUAUCUCUAUUAUUCUGAAAAAUAUAAAAAAGGUUUACGAGUACAAAAUAAUUUUUUCUAACACUAUACGUUAAUAUUUUUAUUAUUUAAAACAGAAAAUUUUCUAAAAUCUUUCACCUAAAAAAGAAAAUUAUUACUCCUAUAAAUUUUGUUUCUAUCUCUACAAAUUAUAGGGAUAAUUAAGAUAAUCAAAUUAGAUGAUUCAUCUUAUACACCACAUUCAAUGACUCACAUAUUUAUUUGUAUAAUAUGUGUGAUUUUUUAAAUGGUCAAAGAUGCUGAUUACAUAAUUUGUUUGUUUUUAUUAUCUUUGUAUACAAUGUAAUAAUAUUAUUAAAUCAAUAAGAUAUAAGUAUUCUAAACAAACUAAUGUCAAUCUCACGUGAACAAAUACGUGAGUCACUGUGAUAUUAUGUUUCUAUAAUGAUAUAUAUUAUUUGAUAACGGGAAGUAGAAUCUGUGUACAAGAUAGUACAUGCUAAGUAUCUAAUCUACAACUUUAGUUGUUGUUUACACGAGAUACGCUAAUUAGUUGUUUAAUCAAUAUUUUCGAAGUUAGUAGAAAUUCAAUUGCAAGUAUGAUAAUUAGUUAAUCCUUUCUCUACGAUAACAUGAUACAUGAUUUGUUUUUUAUUGAAAACAAUAUAAGAGAUUAAAAAUAAAGGAAUUAGGUAAUAAUGAUUGUAUAAUAGGCAAAUCAUUACUGGAGAAUGAUUUUAUCUAUGUACAUUCGACGUCGCAUAAUUAUGAAAAAUCUUAAAAAUACUGCAAAAAUGUUAAUUCAUGGAAAAUUCAUUUCAUGAUUAAUAAAGCAGAUGAAUUUUGGGGAUUUUUCACUGUUAUGAAUCGUGUCUACAUUAUUUCAUAAAAAAAUAUAUUUUUAUACUAUUAAAAACUACUCCAAUUUUUCCAGUGGGUCAGUUAUGGUAUUAUAAAGAAUCUAUGCAAAAUCUAAUGAAAUAUUAUAAUCUAUUGGAAUCUUUUUAAUCUUAGUGGAAAAUUGCACGAUUUUCUUAACAUUUCAUAAGAGAAAAUUUGAGUGAAUUAACAGAAAUUUUGAUUAGAAGCAAAUUGUUUAAUUCCAUUAAGAUCCUUUAUUUUUAGCAGGAUUGAACUGGUCAAACAGAAAUUUUCAGCAAUCUUUUCUUAAAAACUCUGUUAGUUAAAAUAAUGUUUAACAUCAUUUAGCGUGUAUUAAUAAUGAAAUGUUUAAUUAUAAAGCCUCUUUCUUUCGCCAAAUCAUAAAAAUAGUUCCAUACUUUAGACUGUUAAUUGGAACAAAACGAAAAGUCAACGUGUGUUAAUUACGUAAAAUUAGUUUAUCAGCCAGGCACUAAUAUUUAAUCAGCAACAAGAAAAUAUUGCUAAUCGACCAAAAAAUAUAGUUCAACAAUUUUUGCACGUAAUUAAUCCUUUGUGAUUCUGAAUAAAAAAUAAACCAUUUAAAAUUAAUAAAGUAUAUUUUGAAGUCUUGAAGCUUUUACUAUUAACACAUAAUUUUUUUUUUCUAAUUUCAAAUCACAAAGGAAUAAAACGUGCACUAUAAGCGCAACAACAAUAGAAAAAGUUAGUUCAAUAAAUCAGAAAAAUUGAACAGGCACGUACGACAGCAUAAUGAAAAUCUUGAGGAACCGUAUUUCCAAAAAAUUGGGACGAAUGAACGAUCACAGGUAAAAUUGCGAAUCGAUAUUCGGAACGCGUUGCAACCCUUAAAUAAUUGCGUUAAUUUUCCUCCAUUGAAAUUUAUAACAGUGUAAUGAAAACAAGAAAAGAAACAAUUGCAAUUAUGCAAGGGUUGCAGAUACACUUAUCUAAUGCUUAAACACAAACUUGAUUACCCUUAAGUACCAGCAUUCAACCCUGUUUUGAAAAACAUUAGAAUAUUUUCUUAAUUUUAUUGAAAAUUCGUUUAGACAAAAUAUUUGUCUAUUAAUAAUAAAUCCAAAGACUUCUUGUUGAUCUAAUCUAAUGUCAUGGACCUAAAAAAAAAAAACAGAUUUUUUCUCAAAUCUAUAUGAUCAAUCCAAUCCCUGUAUGUAGCCUCAGAAGUAUUUCAAAUUUAUAAUUUAAAAAUCAAACAAACAGUGCAAGUCUUCGUGUGAAUUGCUCAAACACUUAUAAGCUACUUCAAACCUGAAGAGUAAUGCAAACUCAGAAAAUUGGCAAUCAUUACCUAUCAUCACCGAACAAUCCAAAUCUCUCCUUUCCAUCGCGUAUAAAAUACUUUAUACAUUCGAAUGUUUGAAGAUUAAUAAACUCCUUACCCUAAACACUCAAAACAGGGUUGAGAAAAGAAACGACACAACCCAUCUUCAAACACUUGUACCCUACUUUGAACGCUCAAACGCUUAGCCUAGAAAUCAGUAGCAAAAGCUCUAAAAAAUUCAUCAACUAUUCAAAAUCUACCCUUUAAAGAUCUCAAAAUUUGAUACUCUACUUUGAACGCUGGAGCGUCUAAUUAAAGAAUCAAUCAUGGUUCUAGGAAUACAUAAUCGUUCUCUCAGUCUCUGACUAUUCCAUCAUUUAAUUUAAGAAUGAAUGAUGUAUCCUAGAACUUCAAAUCCUCCCUCAGGAUCAUUCAAACACUUAAAUGACAGUGUUGAAACUCUAUCAAAUCUUACAUUUUUUCUCAGCAUCAUACACUGCCCCAUGAUUCAAUUUGAAGAAGAAUAAUGGGUUCCAGAACUUCUUCAUGCUGAAACUUCUAUUCGAAAAGCUGAAGAAAAUCUAAGAUCUAAAGAUCAGUUACAGGUCCAGACAAUUUAAUACCGUUCUCGAUCACUGGCAUUCGAUCGGCUACCUUCUCCCUGUACGGUGUCCCUUUGCCAUCAUCAUCAUCCACGUUACCAUCGUCCUCUUCGUCAUCUCGCUGUCUCCCCUCGUCCUCCUCUUCCUCCUCGUCCAGAUCCUGCUCGGAAGAGGAGGUAGAAGCAUUUCGUAGCCGUUUCACCUUCGUGCCAACAGCGUCGCCGGUUUCCUGGUCCGUGGUACCGAUCAUCUUACUACGAAGUAUGUCCAGCAGCUUCUCCAGUCUGACAAAUGAUGAGUUUUCGUUUGUCAGGUUACAAGCGGCAAAAGCAACAAUGUCAGCUGAAAGCCAUGCUGCCAGCUAAAAGAAACGGAUGUCGUGCGGUUGGUGAACAGCGAAGCGGAAGCUGAGCUUUUCUACGCGAACGGAAGGGUGCUCGCGGUUCUAUUCAUUCCAGUGCGAUUGGGAUUAAAAAAGAAUGCUUAGAUUUUAAAUACAAGAUAGUCCAAGAAACGAGCUAAUUGAAAAUUUAUUUUUUUCAAAGUGUUAAAAUAAAAAGUUGCCAUAGGAUUGUUCUUUGGAGUUUCGUGGACCACCCUGUAUUUUUUCUUUUGAAAUUUUAAUUCAAUUGAUUUAGAAAAAUUUUAAAGCAACUCAAAGACUUUGAUUUUAUAAAAUUAUCUUGGAUUACAUAAAACAAGGAACAAUGCACACUGUACACGAGACAAUACAAAAAUGGGGUAAACUAAGAUCAUGCUAUUGUACAAGCUGCAAAGCCAUGCCAACGUAAUUUACACUAUCCAAAUGUAAAAAAUAAAUUUACAAUUGCAGAAUGGAAGAAUCUGCGAACGAUGAGAA